UACGUAGGGUGCGAGCGUUAAUCGGAAUUACUGGGCGUAAAGCGUGCGCAGGCGGCGCGUUAAGACAGGUGUGAAAGCCCCGAGCUUAACUUGGGAAUUGCGCUUGUGACUGGCGAGCUGGAGUGUGGCAGAGGGAGGUGGAAUUCCACGUGUAGCAGUGAAAUGCGUAGAGAUGUGGAGGAACACCGAUGGUGAAGGCAGCCUCCUGGGCCAGCACUGACGCUCAUGCACGAAAGCGUGGGGAGCAAACAGG
rnacentral:rRNA from 1 species